GUUAGCAAGAUCUUUAAAUUCUUCUUUUGGAUCUUUAUUUCUAAAGGCGUAAAGACUAAAAAGCUCAAGCGCUUCAUAGUCGUGUAAAAGGUCAACCUCGUAUAUAUCUUCAACUCCACGAGCAAUCAGCAACUGUUUAUCUCUACCGGUAACUAUAAUAAUACUUCCAGGACCAAACCAAGAAGGUGAUCCAGCUAAAGCUUCCAAUUGGUUGUAAUCAUCUACAUCAUCUAGUACAACAAGUACCUGCCCAGAUGGUACCUUUUUGUUUGACAAACUUCUCUUUAUUAUGCUGACUCCGUGACCAAUGCUACGUAUCUUAAUAUUGCUUGCGUGCAUAAGACUCUCAAGAAGGUUUUCCUGGAGAUGGACUAAGCCAUGACGUUCUUCGGCACCUUUAAUAUCUUCACAAAAGCUGUAUGCCU
rnacentral:lncRNA from 1 species